rnacentral:rRNA from 1 species
UCGAGCCUACGGGACGCAGCAGUGAGGAAUAUUGGUCAAUGGGAGAGAUCCUGAGCCAGCCAAGCCGCGUGAGGGAAGACGGCCCUAUGGGUUGUAAACCUCUUUUGUCGGAGAACAAAACCCGGGACGAGUCCCGGACUGCGUGUAUCCGAAGAAAAAGCAUCGGCUAACUCCGUGCCAGCAGCCGCGGUAAUACGGAGGAUGCGAGCGUUAUCCGGAUUUAUUGGGUUUAAAGGGUGCGUAGGCGGUCCGUUAAGUCAGCGGUAAAAUUGAGGGGCUCAACCCCGUCGAGC